rnacentral:rRNA from 1 species
UACGGGGGGGGCAAACGUUGUUCGGAAUCACUGGGCAUAAAGGGCGCGUAGGCGGCUUUUCAAGUCAGGGGUGAAAUCCGGCAGCUCAACUGUCGAAGUGCCCUUGAUACUGAUGAGCUCGAGGGAGGUAGGGGUGUGUGGAACUUCCGGUGGAGCGGUGAAAUGCGUUGAUAUCGGAAGGAACGCCGGUGGCGAAAGCGACGCACUGGACCUCUUCUGACGCUGAGGCGCGAAAGCUAGGGGAGCAAACGGG